rnacentral:tRNA from 1 species
GCCCGCGAGGUGUACUGGAUUGCAUGUCGGCCUGUCACGCCGAAGGCAGCGGGUUCAAUUCCCGUCGCGGGCG